GUGCCAGCAGCCGCGGUAAUACGGAAGGUCCGGGCGUUAUCCGGAUUUAUUGGGUUUAAAGGGAGCGCAGGCUGGCUUUUAAGCGUGACGUGAAAUGCGGCGGCUCAACCGUCCGAAGUGCGUCGCGAACUGGAGGCCUUGAGUGAGUUCGACGCCGGCGGAAUUCGUGGUGUAGCGGUGAAAUGCUUAGAUAUCACGAGGAACCCCGAUUGCGAAGGCAGCCGGCGAGGCCUUUACUGACGCUAAAGCUCGAAGGUGCGGGUAUCGAACAGGAUUAGAUACCCUGGUAGUCCGCACGGUAAACGAUGGAUGCCCGCUGUUUGCGAUACACUGUGAGCGGCCAAGCGAAAGCGUUAAGCAUCCCACCUGGGGAGUACGCCGGCAACGGUGAAACUCAAAGGAAUUGACGGGGGCCCGCACAAGCGGAGGAACAUGUGGUUUAAUUCGAUGAUACGCGAGGAACCUUACCCGGGCUUGAACUGCAGCGGAACGAUUCAGAGAUGAUGAGGUCCUUCGGGACCGCUGUGGAGGUGCUGCAUGGUUGUCGUCAGCUCGUGCCGUGAGGUGUCGGCUUAAGUGCCAUAACGAGCGCAACCCCUCUCUUCAGUUGCCAUCGGGUUAUGCCGGGCACUCUGGAGACACUGCCACCGUAAGGUGUGAGGAAGGUGGGGAUGACGUCAAAUCAGCACGGCCCUUACGUCCGGGGCUACACACGUGUUACAAUGGGUGGUACAGAGAGCCGGUCUGCCGCAAGUCAGAUCCAAUCAAGAAAGCCAUCCUCAGUUCGGACUGGGGUCUGCAACCCGACCCCACGAAGCUGGAUUCGCUAGUAAUCGCGCAUCAGCCAUGGCGCGGUGAAUACGUUCCCGGGCCUUGUACACACCGCCCGU
rnacentral:rRNA from 1 species